rnacentral:rRNA from 1 species
GACGAACGCUGGCGGCGUGCUUAACACAUGCAAGUCGAACGAAAAGAGGGAAAGAGCUUGCUCUUUCCGGAAUUGAGUGGCAAACGGGUGAGUAACACGUAAACAACCUGCCUUCAGGAUGGGGACAACAGACGGAAACGACUGCUAAUACCGAAUAAGUUCCAAGAGCCGCAUGGCCCAUGGAAGAAAAGGUGGCCUCUACCUGUAAGCUAUCGCCUGAAGAGGGGUUUGCGUCUGAUUAGCUGGUUGGGGGGGUAACGGCCCACCAAGGCGACGAGCAGUAACCGGACUGAGAGGAUGGACGGCCACACUGGAACUGGGACACGGUCCAGACUCCUACGGGAGGCAGCAGUGGGGAAUCUUCCGCAAUGGGCGAAAGCCUGACGGAGCAACGCCGCGUGAGGGAUGACGGCCUUCGGGUUGUAAAACUCUGUGAUCCGGGACGAAAAGGCAGAGUGCGAAGAACAAACUGCAUUGACGGUACCGGAAAAGCAAGCCACGGCUAACUACGUG